rnacentral:lncRNA from 13 species
GGAGGGCAGCCGACAAUGAGCCCAGGAGACAGCAGGCACCAGACCCGGCUGGCCUUACAGAGUACGGUAAGAACUUGGGAUGUCCCUUGAUGUAGGUUUAGAAUCCAAUGAAGAUUCCCAGAAGAAGGGCAACAUACUCUGAAUUGCAUUUUGAAAGGACCCCUUGGCUGCCGUGGGCCAGGGAUGGACUCAGAGGGACCAGUUAGGAGUUGGUUGCAGUGAUUCAGACCUGACAAGAUGCUAGCAGAGAUGGUGAACAGCUGUCAGAGUCUGGAUAUAUUUGGCAUGUGGAGCCAAUGAAAUUUGCUGAUGGAUUAGAUGUGAAUGUGAGAGGAAGAGGAAUCAAAGAUGACCCUAAGGCCAUUGGCUUGCAAUACUGAAAGCAUGAAGCUGCCAUUUAUGGAGAUGGGGAAGCCAAGCAGAUGGAGUAGAAAGGGUGAGGCUUGACCUUGACCUUCUGCCUCCAAGGUCAUGCUCCUCCCUCACAGAUGCAGCCCCAGUUAUGGCAUGACAUGAUUUCUGCAGUGUCUCCUCGAGCCAUUGGCAGACACCUGCAAGUUUUAUCUUUUGAUUCCAGGCACCUUGGACACCUCCAACUGAGAUCCUCUUUCCCCUGGUCCUGUUGUCUGAAUGUACUGGGAAGCAGCAGAGCUUGUCCCAGUCAUGAUGGUGACAAGAGGCAACAGCCCGAACAUCCCGAUGCAAGAGGCUGAGAUGCAGUCUCCUGCUCCCCACAUUCAUGCCCAUUAGCAAGCAGCGCCACAUCCAGCAGACAGGCAUUCAUCGCACAGGAGCACCCUCCAAGCCGGCAGCAGCUGUGACUCCUCUUCAGUCAUCUGCUCCUCAGACGCUUUUGUGGACAAAGCCCAGAUAACUUAAGGUAAGACGAAAUGAGAAACAUUUGCUCCUUGAAAAUUGUUAACAUCUGUCCUGACUAGCAGAGCCACGGCUCUUUGUAACUGAGGAAAGAGAAUCCCUGAGGAGUGUGGGUGUGGGGAUGAUGGCGCGCCCUGUGCCCCCAUCCCCCGACCUGCCUGCCCCUGGAAGCCUGCAGGGAAGACACGCAUUGCCAUAGGAGGACCUGGACCCAAGUCUUGACUCCUCAAGGUGUGCCCUUGAGGCAGGUGGUGACCUUUCUGGACUUCAGUUUCCUCGCAGGUUUGUCGGGAGGAGGGGCUAGAGGAUGUGAGCAGGUGCAGACACGAGGGGUGCUUCAUUUGCACUCUGGAAACACCUCCUUCCUUCCUGUGAGCCCAGAAGGAAGUGAGUGAGGUGACCAGCACAUGGCCAAAGCUGACCUUACGGAGGUGCCUCAGUGGGUGGGGACAGGUCUGGCUUCAGUGUCUGGUCAGGCGAAUGAAGCACUUCCAAGAACUGUGCACAGAAAGGUGGUUGGCAGGUGGACCCAGGGCUGGCCCCAGAGAGAGAUCACUGUGAUGCCACUUCAUAGCUGAAGACAUGAGGACAAGAGGCAUCUGAAGAUGUUACAAUGACCCCAUUGCCUGUCCAAGUCAGCGAGGACACAGGGAAGGAGCCAGGGAUGGUCGUUCUGGCAUCUCCCAGGUCUACAAGACCUAGGAGUGUCACCUAACACACCACAGCCCCCUCACUUCUGUGCAGACUCCAGAUUGGGUCCCUGUCAUGGAUUAGUGAUGGCCACAAUUACUUGUCAUUCUCUCAUCAAGAGGUGGAAUUGAUUUCCCUCCCCUGAACCUGAGCUGGCCACAACAGCUUAACCAAAGGAAGGAGAGGAAGAAGUGAUGCUGGGCCAGCUUCUGGCUAAGUGUUAAGAAGGCUUCUCUGCUCCUGCACUUUGGGGAGCCUUCCACCUCCAGUGAGGAGCCCCCAGCUCCCUUCACCAGAAAGUCUGCAUGGAGCCAUCACAUAGAGAGGUCACACAGAAAGCCAAGGCCUUGAGAUGACGUGGAGAGGCAGCUGUUCUGGGGGAGCAUCCAGGAGACUCCAGCCUUGGGUACCUUCUGCCUGCAACCUCCCAAGAGACCCCAAGUGAGACCAGACAAGAACUGCCCAGCUGAGCCUGGUCAACCUGUGGAACCAUGGCAGGGAAUAAACACUUGCUGUUCCAAGCUGUUAAGUUCGGG